rnacentral:rRNA from 1 species
UACGUAGGGACCAAGCGUUGUUCGGAUUUACUGGGCGUAAAGGGCGCGUAGGCGGCGUGGUAAGUCACUUGUGAAAUCUCCGAGCUUAACUCGGAACGGUCAAGUGAUACUGCUGUGCUAGAGUACAGAAGGGGCAAUCGGAAUUCUUGGUGUAGCGGUGAAAUGCGUAGAUAUCAAGAGGAACACCUGAGGUGAAGACGGGUUGCUGGGCUGAUACUGACGCUGGAUGCGCGAAAGCUAGGGUAGCAAACGGG